AUAUAUAUAUAUAUAUAUGAAUACCCCAGACCAAACCCUAGCCAUCGUCUCAGCUUCCCUAUUCAGCCGCUUCAAGCCUUGCACCCGAAUGCCUGAGGACGGAAAAAACAGAGGAAAAAACGGGGGAAAACAUCGGAAAAAUCGACACAGCAAAGGAAACUCGGAAAAAAUUAAAAGAUCUGUGGGGAAGGAGAGCACCUGAGAGAGAUUGGAAGGGUUUCUUAGGAGGAUUUUGUCCGAGUUGUGGCUGUGUGAGCGGCAGAGGGCGGCGACGAGGAGGUUGAGGGCCGGGUCGCUGAGGAGGGCCUUGCGGCUGCCGGCGGAGGCGGAGGUCGGCGAGGAAGGAGAGGGGUAGGGCGGCGGCAGGGGAUGGGGAGGAGCAGAUGGCGCAGGCGAAGAGGGGGUCGGAGACGAUGGGGGUACGAAGGUCUGGGCCUCCGAAUUCAUGGAGGGAACUUUAAGCGAAGAUGAUGGAUUGAUAAGAGAGAGCAACAUGGACCUUAAUGACAACACUGCUGACCCUCACAUGUCACUAGCUCUGGAUGCUCUUGGAGUUGAGCUGAACAACCCAAUCACAUCGCAACUCCUGCAGUUGGAUAAUUCUGACAUAAUGGAACCAAUAAUCGGCAUGGAGUUUGAAUCUGAUGAAGCUGCAAAGGAAUACUACAUAGCAUAUGCCAACCGUGUAGGGUUUGGUGUCCGCAUGAAUAAGUCACGUCGCUCGAGGAAGGAUGACACUGUGAUCAUGCGGCGUUUUGUGUGCACGAGGGAGGGAUUCCAUUCGAAGAGGGUAAUCUACGAUGAUGGAAAGAAGAAGAGGAAGCGGGGAACCACAAGGGAGGGGUGCAUGGCCAUGAUUGAGGUCAUUCGUAAGGAUCAUGGCAAGUGGGUUGUUACAAAGCUUGUGACAGAGCACACCCAUAUGGUUGCAUUACCUGGUAAAGUCCGACCGCGUGAUGAUAAAGCAAUCAUACUGGGUAACGUGGGCUUUCUGCAUGGAGAAUCGAGUGGAGGUUUUAAUAAUCUAAAAAACUUCAAUAGAGGAAUAAGAGUUAACCCCUUUGGUGAAGGUGGAGAAGCUCAGGGCCUCUUGGAGUAUCUGAAGAGAAUGCAAGCUGAGAACCCUGCUUUCUUUUAUGCAAUUCAAGUUGACAACAAUAAUUGUAUGACUAAUGUCUUUUGGGCUGAUGCUAAAGCUAGGAUGGGUUAUCAGUACUUUGGUGAUGCUGUUACUUUUGACACAACAUAUAAGAAAACAAAGUACAUGAUGCCGUUUGCGACAUUCAGAGGUGUGAACCAUCACUUGCAGAGUGUUAACUUUGGGUGUGCUUUGCUAAUGGAUGAGACAAAGGGUUCCUACGUCUGGCUGUUGGAGACAUGGGUUGCAGCCAUGGGUGGACAGCAUCCGGUGUCAUUAGUUACUGACCGAGAUAAGGCUAUGGAAGGAGCUAUUAUGAGGGUAUUCCCUAACACUCGUCACCGUUUUUGCAAGUGGCACAUUUUAAGUAGAUGCAAGCAGAAGCUAUCAGAUGUUUAUCUGAAGCAUGUCACAUUGAAGAGGGAUUUGAAAGAAUGCAUUAAUGAAUCUGAAACGAUUGAAGAUUUUGAGACUCGUUGGGAGUACAUCCUUGACAAAUAUAACCUGUGGGAUAACUCUUGGCUGCAGUCACUCUAUGAUAUUCGCCGACAGUGGGCUACUGUCUAUCAGAAGGAUACUUUCUUUCCUGAACUAACUGUAUCUCGAAGAUCAGAGAGCCUGAACAAGUUUUUCAAGAAACAUUUUAAUGCAAAAACCUCUCUACUUGUAUUUAUCUCACUAUUUGAUCAACAUUUGGCAUCUCAGUAUGAGAAGGAAGCCCAAGCAGAUUUUACUACUGUAUAUUCGAAGCCUCUUCUGAGAACUCCAUCACCAAUGGAGAAACAAGCUGCUGGUGUCUACACAAAAGCAGUAUUUGAUAAAUUUCAGGAGGAGUUUGUUGAAUCACUAGGUUAUUAUGUUGACAAAAUUGAGGAUGACCCCAUUAUCAAGUAUAGUGUGUCCAAGGAGGAGGAUAAUCAUAGAACCUACAUUGUCUGUUUUAAUGAGUCUGACAAGAAAGCAAACUGUAGCUGUUGUAAGUUUGAGUACUGUGGAAUUCUGUGUAGGCAUAUUUUAAGGGUUUUCUUUAUUGUUGGAGUUCGUAUUCUUCCAGAGGAGUACAUCUUGAAGCGAUGGACUAGGAAUGCCACAAGCAAUGUUGUUCUAGAAGAGCGAGUGAUCGAUCCAGGGCUUAGUUUUCAGGAACAACUGAUUGCUUGGUACAAUGAUCUUUGCCUUGAUGCUGUCAAAUAUGGCAUGGAAGGGGCUAUAUCUUCAGAUAUAUAUAAGAUUGCAAAGGUUGCACUGCAAAAAGCUUUUGCAGAAGUUGUUGCUGCCAAAAACAUGCAAAGGAAGGGGCAGCAAAAUAUGCAGAGAUUCGCAAGGCUGCAAAAGAUGCAAUACAAAAUGCCUCUGCCAAAGUUGCAACCGAAGAAGACUCCUGGAAGAGUAGCACCACAAGAUGAAGUUAAUAGAAGUAAAAGAAGCACAAAAGAUGAUUCAGUAGAUGCAAGCGAUUCUCAUUUAAAUGGUGAUACCCAUUGAUGAAGUUGCAUUUUCUUAUGUUAUUUCAACUUUUUUGUACAUAGUUGAUGACAUAGUCACACUCUCAUGACAGUUAUUUCAGAGGAACAGAAGUCCCCUUUGCGGAUGUGCAUAAUUUUGAUGGCAAAAUGCAGUGACAUGUUAUCAGAAAUUCUGCUGGUAUUCCCUUUGGGGCAGCCAUAUUGGAAUGUUUGUUGCAUUUAAUUCUGUAUAUUAAGCUACCCUUUGUAAUUCUUUACUAAUUAUGGCCAGUAAAGUUUCUCUAUAGGAACUCUCCCCCACGACUCCCUUGAGCGUGCAUUAUUUCAUACUUGAAUAAAAUUUGAGAAUUUUUUUCAUCAUUUUAUUUGUUUUUAGUGUGGCAGGCAAGGGAGUUGAGGUGUUGGCUGAAGGAAGUCGGAAUGUUUUCAGGUAUAUGAGAUAGAGAAUAAGGUGAAAAAAGCAGAUUGGAGAUUGACUCUAUUUGGUAUAUCACUGUUGAUUGAUUAGUCACUGUAUUUAUAUAUUAGGGAGCUAUCCUGAAUGUUCUUUGAUUUGUUGUUUUCCUUGCUUUCUUUCUGUGUCCUGAUGAUUAAGAGGACGCUCUUGUAUAGGAGGGAGAAAGAGAAGUCGAAAUGCAGUUUGUUUUGUUUAUCCUUUAUCAAUUUAUUUGAACGGACCUUUGAGCA